rnacentral:rRNA from 1 species
UACGUAGGGUCCGAGCGUUGUUCGGAAUUACUGGGCGUAAAGGGUCUGUAGGUGGCCAACUAAGUCAGACGUGAAAUCCCGUCAGCUUAACUGGGGAACUGCGUCUGAUACUGGUUGGCUUGAGUGCAGGAGAGGAACGCGGAAUUCCAGGUGUAGCGGUGAAAUGCGUAGAUAUCUGGAGGAACACCGGUGGCGAAGGCGGCGUUCUGGGCUGAAACUGACGCGUGAGGCGCGAAAGCGUGGGGAGCAACAGG